AGCGAACGCUGGCGGCAGGCCUAACACAUGCAAGUCGAACGAACCUUUCGGGGUUAGUGGCGGACGGGUGGGUAACACGUGGGAACGUGCCUUUAGGUUCGGAAUAACUCAGGGAAACAUGUGCUAAUACCGAAUGUGCCCUUCGGGGGAAAGAUUUAUCGCCUUUAGAGCGGCCCGCGUCUGAUUAGCUAGUUGGUUGAGGUAAUGGCUCACCAAGGCGACGAUCAGUAGCUGGUCUGAGAGGCUGAUCAGCCACAUCGAGACUGAGACACAGCCCAAACUCCUACGCGAGGCAGCAGUGGGGAAUCUUGCGCAAUGGGCGAAAGCCUGACGCAGCCAUGCCGCGUGAAUGAUGAAGGUCUUAGGAUUGUAAAAUUCUUUCACCGGGGACGAUAAUGACGGUACCCGGAGAAGAAGCCCCGGCUAACUUCGUG
rnacentral:rRNA from 1 species